rnacentral:miRNA from 1 species
AGCCACUGACUAACGUACAUUG